rnacentral:rRNA from 1 species
UACGGAGGGGACUAGCGUUGUUCGGAAUUACUGGGCGUAAAGCGCACGUAGGCGGAUUUGUAAGUCAGGGGUGAAAUCCCGGGGCUCAACCUCGGAACUGCCUUUGAUACUGCAAAUCUCGAGUCCGGAAGAGGUGAGUGGAAUUCCUAGUGUAGAGGUGAAAUUCGUAGAUAUUAGGAAGAACACCAGUGGCGAAGGCGGCUUCCUGGUCCAGCACCGACGUUCAGGCACGAAAGCGUGGGGAGCAAACAGGG